CAGUCGAACGGACUUACAUUGAAGCCUAGCGAUAUGUAAGUUAGUGGCGGACGCGGUGAAUAACGCGUGGGUAACCUGCCUUGUACUGGGGGACAACAGUUGGAAACGACUGCUAAUACCGCAUAAGCGCACAGCUUCGCAUGAAGCAGUGUGAAAAACUCCGGUGGUACAAGAUGGACCCGCGUCUGAUUAGCUGGUUGGUGAGGUAACGGCCCACCAAGGCAACGAUCAGUAGCCGGCCUGAGAGGGUGAACGGCCACAUUGGGACUGAGACACGGCCCAAACUCCUACGGGAGGCAGCAGUGGGGAAUAUUGCACAAUGGGGGAAACCCUGAUGCAGCAACGCCGCGUGAGUGAAGAAGUAUUUCGGUAUGUAAAGCUCUAUCAGCAGGAAAGAAGAUGACGGUACCUGACUAAGAAGCCCCGGCUAACUACGUGCCAGCAGCCGCGGUAAUACGUAGGGGGCAAGCGUUAUCCGGAUUUACUGGGUGUAAAGGGAGCGUAGACGGUUUUGCAAGUCUGAAGUGAAAGCCCGGGGCUUAACCCCGGGACUGCUUUGGAAACUGUAGGACUAGAGUGCAGGAGAGGUAAGUGGAAUUCCUAGUGUAGCGGUGAAAUGCGUAGAUAUUAGGAGGAACACCAGUGGCGAAGGCGGCUUACUGGACUGUAACUGACGUUGAGGCUCGAAAGUGUGGGGAGCAAACAGGAUUAGAUACCCUGGUAGUCCACGCCGUAAACGAUGAUUACUAGGUGUUGGUGGGUAUGACCCAUCGGUGCCGCAGCAAACG
rnacentral:rRNA from 1 species